rnacentral:lncRNA from 1 species
CAGCAGGGGAUAACUGAGUAGUGAGCCGCAUAUUUCUCGAAUUAGCACACGCUUGUAUUUCUUGUUUUUUCUAUUUUAUGCAAGAUUGCAGGAGAAAUGAGUAUUUUAGUUAUUUUAGCGUAGGUGAACUUAUACAGCUUGCUUGGUAGACAGAUCACAAUUACCAAAAAAGCCGGAAAAACAAUAACGUAGCUCUUUUCGAGCACAGCAGCUGUUGUGUCAGCUGCGAACUGCGAAUUCGAGUUCCUUACAAAAAAUCUAAGCCAUGUGCCAUAUUCAUAUAAGCACAAAUCUCAUCUUAUCACUUAGUUUUAUAGGUAAAGUUUAAAUGUGGACAACUAUUGGUGUUUUGUGCCAUAAAGCGUAGUGGAAUUUUAAUUAGCUAAAAGGUCUCAUAUCUGCUGCUACAAGGAACAAUUUACAGACCGGAAAUGCAGUGUAGCAUUGUUGUAACUCGGCCCUGCCAUUUGGCCGUUGCGGAUAUACCGAGUUCGUCUGCAACGACCUCGGAACCAUCUCCCCUAUGAGAUCAGAGUGGAUAGCCACCUAUCGAACGACUACCGCCUGUCUAUACGUUACCACCGAAAUGGUCAGCAAGAUGAAUAUAGGCUGGAGGUUUUUAGGCGAAUAUAAGACUGUCAGCGUUCGCGUCUACAUUUAAAAGGCGCAGUUCAUAUUGCCGCUUGCUAAAAGUAUGCACGGAGUUUUCAUGUCGUCGCGCACGAAGACGGCAUCGGUCGAUAGUCUGAACGCAAGCUCAAGUAUUCAUUGCGUCAAGAGUUACUCAACUGCGCGUUGGAGAACAGGCAUAGACGUGCACGUUGCUCUAGAUUAAUUGUGGUGGUUACGAUGCCCCUCUGCAAUGGAAACUCGUGUGCCUCAAGCAAAAAUUUGUCGAGAACGAGCAAUGCUUAUCCUCUUCGCCGAUAAUUGUUAUCAUAUCAGUAAAAAACAAUUUCAGAUUGGAUGUCCACGUUUCACGAAUAGCCAUGUUACUGCAAUGGUCGUCGUAUAAAAUCAUGUCACCUGCAAUGUCUCUAUAAAGCUGCGAUGUAUACGAAACACAGUCAAGUAACGAUAUAACUGGUGUACUUCAGCUAAUAUAUCAGUGUUAAAAUACCAACCUUAAUUAUUCAAUUUUUACCAGCAUUAGCCCGCAUGUUGAGUACCCGAGGCUUGCCUCUUUCCGUGUGUUGAUUUUGAUAUCAACAUAUUGACGAGCCUUUUGCCUACGAUUCGUGUUAGACUAUGUGAACUUGGUGUUAUGGAUAAAUCGUUUCCAUUUAUACCGCAUUCAGUGUGUCUUUGUAUGCCUGCUAUUCCAUGAGACCUUCACUACUGAAGCGGUAUUUCGUAAAUCCACGGUGGUGAGGGCAUUCUUCCUUAUCAGUCUAUUUUAUUUUUUUACUCCUAUUAAACCUGGAAGUCUUAAGGAUCCAUAUAAAGCAACCUAUAUAUAUAAGUGGGACAAGAUAAGACAGUUAAUAAAACAAGCACAAAUAACCAUCAAUGAACCUGUUGUCGUGUUUUAGCUGCUCGAUUAACCCGUUCCAUCUACACCAUUAAAGUUUUACCGUGUAAUCCCAGGCUUAACGAGAUUAGAAAAGCGCUACGAAGCGGUUUUAUGAUUUAAUUCACGUAAUAAAAAGUCGUUUUAUAAUAAUAAAAAAAAAAAGAAACACGGAAAAAUUAAUUCCUCUUUAUACCUGCAUGGAUUGCACUGUAAAAGCACUGAGACAGGUAAAGUGAACAAUUCUUAUAUCCAAACAUUUUUUAGUUUCAACGGUUGCCGCGAAGAUGA